UCAGCAGGAUCCAUGAAGGUGGGCCUGUGUGUGAAGGGCCAAUAAGAAAGGUGAACCAUUGGAUGAAGGGCCAGUGGGAAGGCAGAGACAAUGGGGGAGGAUGCGGCAAGUUAGAAAAGGACCAAUGAGGGAGGUGGACCAUUGGAUGAAGGGCUAAUAGGAAGGGAGAGCCAGUGGGGGAUGGUGAGGCCAGUUAGAAAAGGACCAAGGAGGGAAGCAGACCAAUAGGAAGAGAGAGCCAAUGAGGGAGGGCAGGGCCAGUUAGGAAAGGACCAAUGAGGAAGGUAGACCAUUGGAGGAAGGGCCAAUAGAAAGGGAGGAUCCAUGAGGGAGGGUGGGGACAGUUAGAAAAGGACCAAUGAUGGAGGUGGACCAUUGGAUGAAGAACCAAUAGAAAGGAAGAACCAAUGGGAGAGGGCAUGGCCAGUUAGGAAAAGACCAAUGGUCACAGAGUGACCAAUCAAGAUGAAUCAAUGGGCAGGAAGUGUCCAAUGAAGAAUGGACUACUGAUCAGGAGGGGUACAGUAGAGGAGGGCGUAACAGAGGAAGAGUCCUCCAGGUCAACUGAAACUACUGAAGAAGGUG
rnacentral:lncRNA from 1 species